UGGGGUGUUUUGUGCACAAUCUUUAACCAAUGAUUCUAUUAGAGUUGUAGCUGGCAUUGAUCUUAACCAUGCUGAUAUUGCUGGUUAUUUAGUUCCAGAACUUGGUCUUCUCACAGAUCUAGUUCUUUUUCAUCUCAACUCCAACCGUUUUUGUGGUAUUGUACCUAAAACCUUUAGCCAUUUGAAGCUUCUUAGGGAGCUUGAUUUGAGCAACAAUAGGUUCCACCUCAACUCAAAUCGAUUUUGUGGCAUCGUACCUAAAACCUUUAGCCGUUUGAAACUUCUUAGGGAGCUUGAUUUGAGCAACAAUAGGUUUGUUGGUGGGUUUCCUAAAGUGGUUCUUUCUUUG
rnacentral:lncRNA from 1 species